GAUGAACGCUAGCGGCAGGCCUAAUACAUGCAAGUCGAACGAGAUUACGAGGCUUGCUUCUUAUGAAAGUGGCGCACGGGUGCGUAACGCGUAUGCAACCUACCUUAAUCAGGGGGAUAGCCCGAAGAAAUUCGGAUUAAGACCGCAUAAAAACACAGGAUAGCAUUAUCCAAUGUUCAAAUAUUUAUAGGAUUAAGAUGGGCAUGCGUGUCAUUAGCUAGUUGGCGGGGUAACGGCCCACCAAGGCGACGAUGACUAGGGGAUCUGAGAGGAUGACCCCCCACACUGGUACUGAGACACGGACCAGACUCCUACGGGAGGCAGCAGUAAGGAAUAGUGGGCAAUGGAGGGAACUCUGAACCAGCCAUGCCGCGUGCAGGAAGACAGCCCUCUGGGUCGUAAACUGCUUUUAUUCGGGAAUAAACCUUUCUACGUGUAGGAAGCUGAAUGUACCGAAGGAAUAAGGAGCGGCUAACUCCGUG
rnacentral:rRNA from 1 species